GCGGUGUCCGGAGGCCAGUCGGGCUGCGCGCGCCGGGCUCGGAGCUUCUGUCGUACCGGCGAAGCUCGGUCUCGUCGUUCGUUACCUCUGCACUUGACCAGCCAGUCAGCUGGAAUUUCGUGACUGUCAUCGGCACUGCUUUCGCAGUAAAGGGGAGCCCAUAGACGCGGUGAAUGUCACGGUCUCUUCUCCGGCCGUUCAACGAGGGCCGGCGUGAGGAGGGGCUGCCUGCGCUGUGGAAGCCUCUCAGUCCCGGUCGUGGGACAGCGGAGCGCAGGCGGAACCAGCUUCUCAUGGGGAGGAGGGUGCCUGGGGUAAGAGGCUCAGAGACCAUCCUGACAUCACUGCAACCAUGAUUUCACCAGGAUAAUGUACUGCAAGGUUAUUGUCAUAUGAAAUCUCUACUCCUGGAAAGAGAAAGUCUCUCACAAGACCUUGAUCUAGGAUGACACUUCGUUCCUGCAGACCUGUGACAAGUCAUGGCAGUGUCCCCCGAGUCGAGCUCACAGCAUGCUCAGGGGCUGCCUCCUCUGGAGUGUCCUGUGUUACCUCCUCAGUGGCCCAAGUGCAGGGCAUACCUAUGAGCCAGCAGUAAA